rnacentral:rRNA from 1 species
CCUACGGGAGGCAGCAGUGGGGGGUAUUGCACAAUGGGCGGAAGCCUGAUGCAGCGACGUCGCGUGAGGGAUGGAGGCCUUCGGGUUGUGAACCUCUUUCUCCGGUGGUGAAGGCCCUGUCCGUUGCGGCGGGGUUGACGGUAGCCGGGUAUGAAGCGCCGGCUAACUACGUGCCAGCAGCCGCGGUGAUACGUAGGGCGCGAGCGUUGUCCGGAAUUAUUGGGCGUGAAGGGCUUGUAGGCGGCCGGUCGCGUCCGCCGUGAAAUUCUCCGGCUCAACCGGGGGCUUGCGGUGGGUACGGGCCGGCUGGAGUGCGGUAGGGGAGGCUGGAACUCCUGGUGUAGCGGUGGAAUGCGCAGAUAUCAGGAGGAACACCGGUGGCGAAGGCGGGUCUCUGGGCCG